ACUUAUUUUUAGUCUCUAAUAGAUUAACAAAUUUAGUGUUUAUUCCAUAAUAAAUAUUUCUCAUUUGUUAUUGAUACAUUGAUACAGACAAAUAAAAUUUACUAAUUUAUUAAAAAGCAAACACAAAAUUUUCUAAUUUAUUAGGGACUAAAAUAAAAU
rnacentral:pre_miRNA from 1 species